rnacentral:snoRNA from 1 species
GCAGACUCACUCUGUGCAUGACUGCCUUCCUCAGUCUUGCUGCUUUUCCAGUCUGCGAGAGAAGCGACCCCCAUGGCAUUGCACACACCUUUCUCUGGUGAAAGGUCAUGCACCUGCUUGGGAAACAUCC